rnacentral:rRNA from 1 species
UGAGUGGCGGACGGGUGAGUAACACGUGGGUAACCUGCCCUAAAGUGGGGGAUAACAUUUGGAAACAGAUGCUAAUACCGCAUAAAACCUAGCACCGCAUGGUGCAAGGUUGAAAGAUGGUUUCGGCUAUCACUUUAGGAUGGACCCGCGGUGCAUUAGUUAGUUGGUGAGGUAAAGGCUCACCAAGACCGUGAUGCAUAGCCGACCUGAGAGGGUAAUCGGCCACACUGGGACUGAGACACGGCCCAGACUCCUACGGGAGGCAGCAGUAGGGAAUCUUCCACAAUGGACGAAAGUCUGAUGGAGCAACGCCGCGUGAGUGAAGAAGGUUUUCGGAUCGUAAAACUCUGUUGUUGGAGAAGAACGUAUUUGAUAGUAACUGAUCAGGUAGUGACGGUAUCCAACCAGAAAGCCACGGCUAACUACGUGCCAGCAGCCGCGGUAAUACGUAGGUGGCAAGCGUUGUCCGGAUUUAUUGGGCGUAAAGCGAGCGCAGGCGGUUUCUUAAGUCUGAUGUGAAAGCCUUCGGCUCAACCGAAGAAGUGCAUCGGAAACUGGGAAACUUGAGUGCAGAAGAGGACAGUGGAACUCCAUGUGUAGCGGUGAAAUGCGUAGAUAUAUGGAAGAACACCAGUGGCGAAGGCGGCUGUCUGGUCUGUAACUGACGCUGAGGCUCGAAAGCAUGGGUAGCAAACAGGAUUAGAUACCCUGGUAGUCCAUGCCGUAAACGAUGAGUGCUAGGUGUUGGAGGGUUUCCGCCCUUCAGUGCCGCAGCUAACGCAUUAAGCACUCCGCCUGGGGAGUACGACCGCAAGGUUGAAACUCAAAGGAAUUGACGGGGGCCCGCACAAGCGGUGGAGCAUGUGGUUUAAUUCGAAGCAACGCGAAGAACCUUACCAGGUCUUGACAUCCUUUGACCCUCUAGAGAUAGAGCUUUCCCUUCGGGGACAAAGUGACAGGUGGUGCAUGGUUGUCGUCAGCUCG